CUAUCAUAUGCCAAAGUCAACACAAUAUUCGCAAGCAAAUAAGGGACUAAACUCUUUUUCGGUACGAAGUGAGAUUCAACAAAUAUGUGCACAAACCUAAGCAAAUUAGCUUGGUUCUUCCUUUGUAGAAUUAAUUCUGUUAACUGGUUUUGAAGUAAAGUGAUUUGGAUUAAAGAAAAUGUAAAAAAGUUUUCACUUCUACCAAAUAUCAUUUUUAAAAGACAAAGAGUGUUGGUAGCAUGCUGUUUACUUUAUUCUGAGGUGUACCAUGCUGUUAGCAUAGACCAAAAGCCUCUCCGUAAACAGUACCUUGAGGCUAUUUUACCUCCAUUUGUUGCGGUCUUGAGGAAGUGGCGCCCCAUCUUGGCUGGAACUCAUGAACUCGCAACUACUGAUGGUCUGAAUCCUCUUACCGUAGAUGAUCCUGCACUAGCUGCUAAUGUCCUUCCAGUCGAGGCUGCUCUGGCAAUGAUGUCUCCAGCCUGGGCUGCUGCUUUUGCAUCUCCACCUGCAGCAAUGGCAUUGGCUAUGGCAGCAGCUGGUACUUCAGGUGGUGAAAGUCGUGCCCCUGUAAGAAAUACCCAACUUAGGCGUGACACCUCAUUGAUGGAACGGAAACAAUAGGCUAAGCUUACUACAUUUUUAAGCUUUCAAAAACCUUUAGAAGCACCUACUAAAACUCCUCCAUUACCCAAGGACAAAGCUGCAGCAAAAGCUGCUGCUUUAGCAGCAGCUCGUGAUCUUCAACGAUUUUCAAAGAUUGGUGCUGGAAGAGGUCUUAGUGAUAUGGAGCGUGUUAAGAGGUGGACUAUAACUGAAGCAAUGGGAGUUGCCUGGAUGGAAGUGAACAACCAAAUAUCAUUUUUAAAAACUAAAAAAUCACAAGUCUUGCCUAAAAUGCACAACCUGCUUUUCAAGGCUAACAAUCUCCUCUUCCAAAACUGCUACUUCCGUGAGAAGUGCCAGUAUUUAUUUUUUUUCAAGAUUUCAAAAUCAAGAUUAGCCCAAUCUAGUAUGCUCCAACACCAUUGGUUUUGACACCCCCCAAAAACAACAUUAAAAAAUCACAUUUUUGUCCCCCUUAAUCUAUUCCUCAUUGAGGACUUUUGUCAAAUAGUUAUGCUGCAUUUUCA